GCAAUGGGAGCAGAAGGUCGCAGCGGCAACCCGUCGCCACAGAUAUGGGUCUGCGCUCUCUUUUUAUCAUCUGCUCCUUUCACCUCGUGGUAGUGGGGGCCGUGGUCCUGAUCCAGGACAUGACUCUCACAAAAUCUGAGAAGAAAACUGCUUUCAUCAGCUGUAAAGCCACGGGUGUGACAACCACCUACGUCCACUGGUACCAGAAAAAGGAGGACGGGGCUUUAAGGAGGAUCCUUUACAUGGACACUGGUGGUAAAGUCACAAGGGAUGUGGGUUUUACUGACUUUGAAGCUCAAAAGAGGGGAUCUGAUGACUACAGCCUGAAAAUCACAACUGUGAUGAGCCACCACUCCGCCACAUAUUAUUGCGCAAGUUGGGAGUACCACGGUAAUGACAACCAUGGAGAAAGGUGGUGCAAAAGCCACAACUGAAACCAGGCACUCAGUGCAAAUGAGAAACCACAGUGACAGUUAAAGAACCCUAAUAACCUGCUCCUUUAAAAAAUGCAGUCUGGCACCAAGAGCCGUACAAGUGGCGACUCGUAAUCAAUUGUGAAAAACACACACACUUUC